UACAGCACGGUCUCAGGUUGCAGGCCACAGGUCCCUGUGACUGCAGAGCAAUGGCAAACCUUUCAAUGUGAUAUGAAAGGUCUUUGCCUAUUUUAGCAAGUGAGCUAGAAACUCAACUCUAAGAUGACAAGAUACAGAACAAAUACAGAUUUAACUUAAUUUUUAUGCUAACAGAAAGAUAUCAAGUGUCUAAGCAUCCCAGCAAGAUGUUCUGUGGAACAUCAACAUUUCUGUGAAGAGAGAACGAGAGGUAUCAUGGCCUGGGAUAGUUUGGGCCAGAGUCACAUGUGCACCUGCGUUCCAUUCUGAACACAUGGCUGGACUUUGCAACACCUGCUUUGCACUGAUGAACAGACGUGGGUCCCCACAGCCACGUGGAAGGGAGAAGCGUGGCCAAGGUUGCUGCCGCAGUGCCGUCUCUCACUGUUUGCUCAUGCUCUCUCUCUCCUGGGGGAAUUAAUUAUGCAAUUUGGUUCUACAAAAUCUGAUUCUGCACCUCUGUCAUUGGUUUCCUUAUCUGAUGACCAUCCUUGGCACCACACCUGUAAAGGGCUUUUCCCGUUAGUGCUGCAGUUUCCAGGCACACCACACAUGCUCACAGAGAAUGCCAGGCUGUGCUCCACCUGUUCGAGGAGACAAAUGCACAUCCAGAUGUCAUUAUUGAGAAUACCACAACUGAUUUCUCCUCUCUGUCGGUGAACUACGUGGACCUGAAAGCAUCUUCAUCACCUCACUAGUCAGCUAGUCAUUGCAUCUCCUUCUCUUUGGCUGAUCUCCAUUUAUCCCUCUUAUAAAGACCCCUGGGGUGACAUUGACACCCCUUGGACAAUCUGCUCACCUCAAGAUCUUUACAUUAAUGACAUGUUCAAAGCCCUUUUGCCACACAAGGUAUGAUGCAUGGGUUCCAGGGAUUAAGUAUUGGACAUCCUUUUCCAGGGUAUGGGCAUUUCCAGCCUUCUGAUCUCAGGGUCCUAUCACCUCGUAUUCCUUCGCCAUAGGAGCUUGUUUUGCAAAAUCUGUUGGAAACCCACUGCUCAAGUAGGGUUGAGAGUUUUGGAGGAACAGACAUUGAGAAUAGAGACAAGAAGUCAGGAUGCUACCCCAGACCCUUCUUAAUGAUGAUGGGAUGUUCAAUGAUGGAAAGAGCAUUCAAAAACCACGUAGAGGAGUUUCCCCUAUACCCUGUGUUAAAUGCUACUGUGAAAAAUCCAGCCAUCCAGGGUCGGCAGGGAGUGAAGAGUACUGGAGAAUGGGAAGAUGUUCCUCUUCCAACAAGGACACGUGGGGCUGUGGCCUCAGGGGAGGCUCUCAACGUUCCAAGACUAAACGGAAGAUACUGCAAAUAAGGACACAUCUUUAUUAAACUAAUCGGAUGAAUUUUACAAAACUGUCUGCAAAAUAAUCAUCUCUCUUGUGGCAUAUUACCAACGAGGAAACUUCAGACUGUUAGGAGAGGUGAGGAAGGUGCAUAUUGCUUUUCCAUCAGAGAAAAUAAACUCAUACCUUGGGUCA